UUGCCUGAAAUAUUCACAGAACUGGAAAUUUCCUAUUUCCUGCUUAGACGUCUUCUGGGCGUCCGAACUGAAGGAGACAAGAAAGCAGCAAAGGUCCAAAAGCUGUCUAAGAAUGAAGUGCUUAUGGUCAACAUAGGAUCCC